rnacentral:rRNA from 1 species
ACGAACGCUGGCGGCGUGCUUAACACAUGCAAGUCGAACGGAAAGGCCCUGCUUUUGUGGGGUGCUCGAGUGGCGAACGGGUGAGUAACACGUGAGUAACCUGCCCUUGACUUUGGGAUAACUUCAGGAAACUGGGGCUAAUACCGGAUAGGAGCUCCUGCUGCAUGGUGGGGGUUGGAAAGUUUCGGCGGUUGGGGAUGGACUCGCGGCUUAUCAGCUUGUUGGUGGGGUAGUGGCUUACCAAGGCUUUGACGGGUAGCCGGCCUGAGAGGGUGACCGGCCACGUUGGGACUGAGAUACGGCCCAGACUCCUACGGGAGGCAGCAGUGGGGAAUAUUGCACAAUGGGCGGAAGCCUGAUGCAGCAACGCCGCGUGCGGGAUGACGGCCUGCGGGUUGUAAACCGCUUUCGCCUGUGACGAAGCGUGAGUGACGGUAAUGGGUAAAGAAGCACCGGCUAACUACGUG